rnacentral:rRNA from 1 species
UACGUAGGGUGCGAGCGUUAAUCGGAAUUACUGGGCGUAAAGCGUGCGCAGGCGGUUCGUUGUGUCGGCGGUGAAAGCCCCGGGCUCAACCUGGGAAUGGCCGUUGAAACUGGCGAACUGGAGUGUGGCAGAGGGGGGUGGAAUUCCGCGUGUAGCAGUGAAAUGCGUAGAGAUGCGGAGGAACACCGAUGGCGAAGGCAGCCCCCCUGGGCCUGAACACUGACGCUCAGGCACGAAAGCGUGGGGAGCAAACAGG